CUCAAUCUGAUUAGGUCCUCUAGACAAACCAAUGCUCUCCCCGUUCUUUCUGAGAAAUAAAUUAAUACAAAGAACAAAUGAGUGUUGGUUAGAACAUAACAAUAUCAUAAAUAAUUCAUGGUAAGUAGAGUGAUACCCUGAGCAAUGAAGGAGACGGGGCUUAAUAGGUUUCCACUUAGGCGUACUGAAUUUGGGGAAAAUACUGGAGAUGGUUCAGAAGGUUGUGGUAGUUUAAGAGGAAAUGAUUCUGAUGAAGAUAUGUUGAACAUAGCUUUAAAGAGAGAAAUAAGAGAAUUUGAGGGAAUUUGGAAAAAAUGAAAAAGAGGAUGAAAUUACUGUUGAUGAGAAGGUAGAUUGAGACGGGUUUAUUU
rnacentral:lncRNA from 1 species